rnacentral:lncRNA from 1 species
AAUAAAUAUAUUUUACGACUUAUAAGUGGCUCUCAGUACUGUUACAUUGGUGCCAAAGGGAAAUUGUACGACAUGGUAACACAUAAACUAUAGCAACCGCAAGAAAAACAGGUUUACAAAGCACUUUUAAAUUAAUACGCCGGAAGUCAGUCGCCUCCUAGCCAUACAUUACGAUGCACUUCGAGGGCACGGAAUCCUAGUUCUGCAUGAAGGUGAUGGUGGAUUAAAGGUUUUGUAAGGAGAUAUAUGAAAUCUGAAACAGUGGAUAAAACGUAAAGGAACCGGUUAUUGCUACCUUACAAAGGGUGUGCUUCGAAUAGAUUCAUAAAAAAGCAAUGCUUCGUCUCUCAUUUUCGAGGAAUGAUUUGGACCGGACUCUGUUCAGGAUUGUCUUUGGGAUCAUUCUAAGUCUUGCAUAAUAUCAGCAAUGAUAAUCGUUUUGUUAUUCAUUCAUAAGAUAUUUAUAAGCGUAAAAACAUAAUUUUUUUACGACUAUUAUCCAACCUGCACGACAACGAAAAUGUCCUCAAAUACGCCGAUGAUCCAGUCCAGAGAUAUCGUGUACACCGCAACACGUCUUUUUUUAGUGGAGCUCCCGGAGAUCUCUUUCAAAAUAAUUUUAUUUACUACCUACCUAUUUAACAAGGUUUUGAUUUUAUGGAUUUUUUUUAUCAAAAAUGCAGGUUAAUAUCGGGAUUCCCUGAACUGACACUAAUUCGAUGUAAAAUGACUAUCAGACAUGUUAAUUCAACGAACGAAUCCGCCUGGAAAAUAAAACACGCAGAUUAGAACCAUUGAUUGGAUUGUUUGUCGAUGAACGUACAAUGACAGCGACAUAACCAAUAUGCAUUUCAUCAAAUUUCUUUAAAAUCACUCUUUGGUGAUAAAUUAUAAAAAAAAAUAUUAGAAAAAAACCCGACGAUUUGCAGAAUUAGUGGUUCAUUUUUAAUAAAUUCGACUCCAAUAGAUAGCUUCAACAAAUAAAUGGAUGCACCAGGAUUAUUCCGAAGAAACAUAACCGCCUUUAUGUGGUACUGACCA